rnacentral:lncRNA from 1 species
CUACAGCUCCCCCAUUGAUGUCUGGGCCGUGGGCUGCAUCAUGGCAGAGGUGUACACCCUCCGGCCUCUUUUCCCUGGGGCCAGUGAAAUUGACACGAUUUUCAAAAUUUGCCAAGUGUUGGGAACACCGAAGAAGUGAGACCUCCAAGGAAGGAGAUGCCAAGUAGUGCUUCAAAGCUUCGGACCACAAUCAAACACAGCAUCCUUUUCAACAGAAGCAGAAGCUCAUCUGAAUAUGCUCAAGGAUGCUGACAUCAACAUUUAAUCAUCUCCUCACUCAUCCAGGAAGAGGGGGAGAUCAGUUACUACUGUACUUUAUUGUGUUCAACCAAAUCACCAUGUUACAAAAAUAGCAAGCUGCCAUAAUAAAAAAUAAGGCUCCUCU